ensembl:lncRNA
UUCAGGGCGCCAUGUCCUCUGGCUGACCUUCUGGUGUAGGGGUGCAGCCCCAGGUCUCAUGAGGAUGCGUGCAUCAGUGGAUGGCCCACACGGCCCAGCCCCCCUCCUUCACCCCCCAGCAAAGGGCGCGGGAGAGCGGGCGCCACCCCCCGGGUCCUGCAGGUACGGCAGGCGCUCAGCUCGUGGUGAGAGGGGCCCCACGCCAACAAGCUGGCGGAGUCCCAGAAUGCAAGGCUGCCACAUCUGAAGCCCCCCAGGACGUGACCUACGCCCAAGUAAACCACUCAACCGUCAGAAGGGGGACGACCACACCCCUGGCUCCCCCGUCAGGGGAGCCCCCAGCAGAGCCCAGUGAGUACGCUACUCUCGCCGUUCGCUAGCCCAGGAAGGACCCGACCCCAGGCUCCCGGGACAGAUCUCAGACCCCAGGAGGCACAAACAGCAUCCUGGACCCCCGGUGGCCCAGCGGUUAAGAGUCUGCCAGCCAAUGCAGGGGACAUGGGUCUGAUCCACUUGCUGCCAGACAGCUGAGCCUAGGGGCGCUGCAGCUGCCGAAGCCCUGCUGCCCAGAGCCGGUGUUCCUCGAGGGGAGCCAGUGGGUGAGCAGGCCGUGCACAGCCAGGCACCAGCCUCCACUCGCUGCAAUCAGAGAGGGCCCACUCGCAGCAGGGAAGACUCAGCACAGCCACAAAUAAAC